UCGAUGCCCAUAGAAGCAAAACGUUCAAGGUAUGGUGACUGACGGAGAGCAUUUGUCUGUCUGCACAGCUCUAGACAGCUUCCAGAUGAUCAAUAUUCGGGACAAGAUAAGUGUUCUAAACUGUGGAUGAAAAUCGUGUGGCCAUAUCAUAGCCAUAUAUAGCUUUAAAUCGAUAGUUGAUGAGCGGUUGACAAGGGUCUUCCUCUUUUAAUAUGCUAUUUUAGAAUAACAUUUGAGAAACCUCUUAACACACAGACACAUAUUUUGCGGCGUAAGUGUAAUGCUAGAGUAGUCUCCCUUGACGUUAAAACUGCUGAUUUUGUUUCUAUGGUGAUGAAAAGCGUCACCAUAAAGAAAUCUUCUCACGUCCCUCGUUUUUUUUUUGUUUUUUUUUUCUCUUUUCCUUUUUGAAUUAAAUAGACCAACAGCAGUGAACCGUAAGACUAAAACAAUGGAAAACGUAACAAUUAGAAUAUUUGAAAUUAUUGGAUGUUCCUGAUUUCUCAAGUGUGAUCGAUGGCGACGAGUCCUUUUCGCGUGAUUCUGCUUUGAAGUGUAGCUGUGUUUGUCUGUCUGCUUGCACACACACAGACAUACACACACACACACACACACACACACACACACACACACACACACACACACACACACACACACACACACACACACACACACACGUACGUAUGUAUGUCUGUAUGUAUGUAUGUGUGUGUGUAUACACAAGCGUAUUGUAAUACAAUUCAAUAAAUCAUACAAAUAACUGAAAAAGUCAGAUAAAUUUUAUGCUAGCUGUUAGGAUAUAAUAAUACUUCAGGAGUAUAACACUUACAAAUAAACACACCCAGGAAUACAUGCUGCAGUCACCAUAAUCAAUUUGUAAAAUGCAGCUCCUUAAACAUUUGUCGCUAUGCUGUUUGUCGUUGCAUGCAAACAAACGCUAAAUUCAUUCGAACAACAGCAUCGACAACAGCAACAACAACAAUCACAACAACAACAAUAACCAAGCCAGUAGUAUCAGCAGCAAGAAGAACAGCAACAAUAAGCGCAGUGAUUUAUAAGAAUAUUGGAAGAAAGUUGAAACGAUAAACAAAUGCAAAUGUUGCAUUGACGAUUAACAAUCAUAUGAUGUAAAGAAAUCAAGUAUCGACAACUACUGCCACAAACAACAAACCUUUGCUGUAAUCAAAACAACAAAAUUGAACGAUAACGUUCAGCUGUUAGGAAUGUUACAUAGUAUUGGAAAACCAAAAGUAACAGUUGAAAAUUAUACUAUUGAAGAAGAUGAGUGGCUAUUUCAUCAAAAUUGUGCAGAAAGAAUUCACACUUACCUAUUUGGCGUUUCUGAAGCGACAAAAUUGGAAUUUUCGCAAUAUUAUCAGCUUUCUGCAACAAAAGAUAGAGAAUGGUUACCGAUAAGAAAACGCCCAGGUAAUAUGAUCGAUAAAAGAAAUGGCAGGCCUUGUAUUAAUCUCGGUGAUAAAUUUUACAAAACAGUUGAAUUUUCACCCGAUUUCUUUAAAAAAGGAGCACCAGUUUCACCGCCUGUGUUCGGAAUCGGAGGUAAGAAGGAAGAUACUUUCAUACCAAUUUCAAAAGAGGUUGUACACAAAACAUUAUUUGCAAGUAACAGAAGGCAACAGCGACUAGCAGAUGAAAUACAAGCAGUGAUUGAACUGGAAAAUUGGCGCCCAGCCCCUCCGCUGAAGAUCUAUAAAGGAAUAACUACUUCAUAAUAGUUCAGGACAAAAAAAAAAAAGAUUAAUCGCAGAAAAACCCCACGUUUCAUAAAAAUUGCAGAAAGCUGUUACUGAAGUUUAAAGUUUAAUCAAUUUUACUUAAUCAGAAAAUAGUAUUUAGAAGCUGGCAUUUUCUGCAUGAUAGCUGUCUAUCACAAAAUGAAAACAAAAUCAUUACGAGGAGGAAUUUUUAUUAAACAAACGGAAACAAAGUUAUAAGAACUUGACGACCAAAGUUGUAAGAACUUCUGAAGCUUUUAUAAGGUUUAAUGAAUAAAGGCAUGUGAAACGGU